GUGCGUAGGCGGCCCUGUAAGUAUGGUGUGAAAUCUCCCGGCUUAACUGGGAGGGUGCGCUAUAGACUGCGGGGCUCGAGUGUGGGAGAGGAAAGUGGAAUUCCUGGUGUAGCGGUGAAAUGCGUAGAUAUCAGGAGGAACACCGGUGGUGUAAACGGCUUUCUGGACCACAACUGACGCUGAGGCACGAAAGCGUGGGUAGCAAACAGGAUUAGAUACCCUGGUAGUCCACGCCCUAAACGAUGCAUAUUUGGUGUGGGUCAUUCAGUUGAUCCGUGCCGGAGCUAACGCGUUAAAUAUGCCGCCUGGGGAGUACAGUCGCAAGGCUGAAACUCAAAGGAAUUGACGGGGGCCCGCACAAGCGGUGGAGCAUGUGGUUUAAUUCGACGCAACGCGAAGAACCUUACCUGGGCUCGAAAUGCUGUGGACCAGCUGGUGAAAGCCGGCCUUCCCGCAAGGGACUGCAGUAUAGGUGCUGCAUGGCUGUCGUCAGCUCGUGUCGUGAGAUGUUGGGUUAAGUCCCGCAACGAGCGCAACCCUUGUCCUGUGUU
rnacentral:rRNA from 1 species